UCAUGCUGUAUAUGCAGUAUUUUGAACAGUGUAGUGUUAAAUUAUCUGAAAAUAGAACAAUGUAGUUAAGUUUUUUCUUAACAAUGAAGUCAACUGUUUGACUAAAUAUUUAGUUAAAGAAGUUUUCUUGGUCAAAGCCGAAAUUUAAUUAAUUCUGAAUUACAAACCAGUUUAAUAUUUAACCAAAAAUAUUAAAAUACAAUAUAUGGUUUAUUUAUAAAUAUAAACAUUGACCAAACCAAGAUAUUAAAAGAAUCUUAAAAUACAAUAUAUGGUUUUGUUUGGAAACAAAUAAAUGACUGUUUUGACCAAAAAACAAACAUAUUAAUCUUAUUAUUAUAUAUCCACAAUACUGAACUAUUGAAAAUACAAGUAAAAAUAUACUCCCUCUGUUUCAUAAAUAUGCAUAUUCUAGAUAAAAUUUUGUUUCAAAAAUAUACAUAUUUUAUAUUUUCAAUGUAAUUUUAUCAGCUAAUAGUGAGAAAUUGUGAAGUUCAAAAAUAUUAAUUACAUUUUUCAAAGUUUAUUGGUUUAAAAAUAUAUAAAUAUAUACAAUUAUAAAAAACUAUGCAUUUAUACCUAAAUUUUAAUAUGUUUUAUUAAAAAGUAUGGAAUUUUAAAACAUGUAUUAUUUUGAAACAGAUGAAUUAUUUACUUUAACGAGGUAGACCUCAUAUAUCAAACUUUAGACCUGAGAAUCAGGAGUUUAAGGCACAUGAUGCAACAUUGUUCAAGGCGAAUUUCACUUAUGGCCCUUUUGGAUCACCAAGACAUUCAAAUUCACAUCGUCCACCAUCAAGGCUUGUCUUAUGUAAUGUACAAAGUGUCGUGGAUCAAGCCUUAACAUUUGGCUCCAAUAACAGUCAUAGAUGAAGCAUUGCGGAAUAUAUCUCAGAUCAAUCCACUCUUAUUCCAGACAAUUUCAUACUUGGGAUCAAAUCUCACUAUAAGAUUCAAUCAGCAAAACACUUUCCAAAACCGAUACACUCAAAAUAGCCCCCAAAGAUGGGAUGUUCUCCUUGGCACCCAAGACAUUAGCCCAAAUGCUUAGUUUCCGGUUUGUAAACAUGUCUUGAUAUCCUGUCACCAGAGCAAGCCCAGGCAUCAAGUGAAUGAAGCAAUUGCUUGCGGCAGUUUAUUUUAUCAAUAAGUUUUGGCCUCAUAGUUCGUAUAUUCUCGUUAGUCUACUGGCAACGCUCACACAUCUCACCUUCUUCAAGUCACGGGGACCAUCAGUGGUUACAGUUCCGGACACAUUGUUUUUUUUUUUUGCUUCUGGUCUUAAAUAUUCUAGGAUCCGCUCUGCCUGUCACUGAUUAGUUUUCACCUUCAACUUGUUUGUAACCCCAAUUUGUAAAAUUUAGCAUUGUAAUAUUUCACAUCAAAAGUUGAGAAGUUCAAGUUCUGUUGAAUGAAAAAAAUUUGAACACAUAAUUCGCCCUAAAACUUUGUAUUGCAGUCACAGUUACGAUCGGAGAAGUCCAUAAUUGACUUUUCCUUAGAAGUUAGAACGGAGAAGUCCUUAUAAUUUUUUUUUCCACUUUUCAACCGGCCAGGCAACUUGAAGAGAGCAAAUAAAAAUACUCGAAGAAUAUAUUUGUUGAACUCUUGGAUUCUAGUUGUCUGCGAACUAGUAUCAAAUAGACGCACUUGGCACUUAUGUUUGUAGAAUUAGAUCACAUGUUUGUUAAACUCCUUACGCUGUCUUUUCUACCCUUACAGGUUCCAAGUUCCAGUCUCCACUCUUAUGUAAGUUAGAUAUGUUGCUAAUCUUACUUGUUAUAUCAUCAAUUUUUGAGUGCAUAACGUCACCAGUUCUUAUGUUAUACGACCUUAAAAACAACGUUCAAAACAUGUAUAUAUAGGCUUAUAUUGGUACAAAGUAUUUUUAAUUAUUCAUGAGUCACUCAUGAGUAAUCAAAAUUGCAUCCACUAAAUGAAAUCAAAUCUAGUAAUUGUCUCCCGCAAAAACAAGGUGGACACUAGAUCAAUGCAAUUCAUUUGAGUUUUAUGGACAUGAAAAAACUAUAAGGAAAUGUUGAAUAACCACUUUACUCAAAAGUUAUCAUUUGUUUCCCCCCUAAAUUAUAGGGUCGGGGAUCGGGACCCCAAAAGAAGCUUAUAAUUUGUUAGCAACUAAAUUGAUCGUGGUUCGCUCCAUCAUUAUGCACUCGUACUCGUAGUUGAAUAUGACUAGGCAAUGAGUGUCUUUUGCUUAAGUUCCUUCGAAACUCAAACUGUUUAUUACAUUAUUCAAUGCGACGAGUCAACAUAUUAAUCACGGGGAGAUCCAGUAUCAAUAAUUUAGAUCAUUAUAACUGUAAAAGAGAGCCAUAACUAAUGAAAAUAUUCCCAGUAAGGGAAUAAUAGUCGUCAGGAAAAUUUGCUGGUCGAAUUGUUUUUCAAAGUCAGAUUUGAAGUUUAAAAACAUUGGAGUAUAUGAUACACACAUGUGUUUCAAAAAAAAAAAUUGAUACACACAUAUACAUAUAGGUUCCUUCAAAAUACUAGGUUACAUCCAUUUUCGAUCGCUGCUGUAUUAUCAACUAUUGCUGAACUAAAAGUUCCAAAUCUCACUCUAAAAAGAGUAUUGAUGCUAAGAAAACUAUAUAACAAACUAUAUGAUUUAUAAACUUUAGACUACACAACUCAAGAAAUAGAUCGCAAUAUUUCAAAAUUGUCAUCGUCGCACAACUAUUGGGUACAUCACUCUGCAAUGCCGUAAGAUCUCGUCGAAUAAGUCUAAUCAAUAUCUAUGUUUUGCUUAGCUUCACAUAAAAUGUUUUAAUGCUCAACAAUUUUAAUAUUUUGAAGAAAAAAAUAAAAAUCUUUCACUGCGUCCACUUCACCUGGAAUCAAUGAAUGAACCAGCCUAAAUUAUAGUAGAAAAAGGCGUUAACAAAAUUAUUAUAAGAAUAUUUGUCCACACAUAAAUGGAAUUUACCAAAACUAGCACCUACAUCUGAGAGUAAUUUUGUAAAGUUUCUUAUUUUCAAUGAACGCUACAAAAGCCUACCAAAAUAGUCACAAAAAAACAUUGGAGUUCUGUCCAAUCCCGAGAUUCUGAUUACGCCACGCCAUAUUCACAAUCUUGAACCGUAAUAACAUGAAUAUAAAAGGAAGCAACAUAAACAUUGUUUAUAAUACUUCUACAAAAAAAACAUUGUUUGUAUUACAAAUUUUAUGAUAAAUAUCUGAUAUUAAAUAUUAUCCUUCUUACGAAUAGAACGACUUAGUUUGCGCACAACUAUAGUGAAUUAUUUACCAUUCAAAUCCUUAAUAAAAUACAAAUAGUAAAGUUAAUUAUAGGAAAAGACUUGUGGCUUACAAUUUAUUGGAGUUGUAGCGUACAAUUAGUUCCAAAAUAACCUAAUUUGGUUUUUAAUAUCUAGUCAUUAAAAUAUCGCCAACAUAAUUGGCGUUGAAUUUAUAUUCAUACGCGUCUUAUAUUUGAUGUCUUCACUUAUAUGUUGACAGUUUGACAUAUCUCUUGGACUUGAGUUGUGUUUUCUGUUGUUUUCCUCUUGUUCUUUACUUCUACUUCAACUCUUAGUCUAAGAUUCCCAUAUCUUUAGUCUUUUGCUGAUAUCAACAAAAUAAUAUUCCAUUGAUUUUCUAACAUUAUUAUCUGUAUAAUUUAAACAGAAAACAUCAAUGAUAACAUAAGUUAAUUUUAUUGGCAAAGAACGUGAGACCAUUCUUGCUUAGGGUUUACAGACGGCCCAAAAUAAUAAAAUGCAAAUAUCGUAUUUUUUUUAUAUAUUGGCCAUAGCAAUUUAAAUCGGGGAGCGGCUAAGUUCUAGCAUCUAUUGGUUAGCUCAUAUUAUUGGUUUGUUUACUCUGAAAACAUGUACCAGUUGAACUGUAUUUCUUUGGCUUAACGUAAAAAUUCCAAUUCAUAAAAAAUAAAUUAAAAGAUUCAUUUACAACUCUAGUUACUUAAACUGUAAAUAUUUAUUAAUUUUAUUAAGAAUAUGUUAUAUUAAAUUCUUAGAUUUUUGCAUAUGAUAAUUUUCCGCAUGUGUAUGUAUUAUCCGAUAUAUAUAUAUAUAUAUAUAUCCAAAGCAAAGUGAUUAUUCACAUUUAAUAUUUUUUAAUUUUUUAGUUUCUUUCAUUUCUAACCUUUUUUGUAACAAUUUUGUUUCAUUUCUAACAAAUAUUGUUUUUGAUAUAUAGUUUGCUUUAUGAUUUAAUUAAGAUAAAUUUUUUAAAUCCGAAUUUUUAGAUCGGAUUAGUCAGAACGUACAGAAAAUUAAAAUAGCUAUCAUAUACUCCAUUUGUUUCAAAAUAAUAUAUGUUUUAAAAUUUUCACACGUAUUGAUAAAACAUAUUAAAACUUAGUUAUUGAUGCAUAGUUUUUAGUAGUUUUGCAUUUCCUAUAUUUAUAAACUUAUAGAACUUCAAGAAAUGUAAUUAAUGUUUUUGAAAUUCACAAUUUUUCAUUAUUAUUUGACAAAAAUUACGUUGAAAAUAUAAAAUAUAUAUCACUUUGUCAUUUUGAAUCAAAAUAAUUUUCUAGAAUAUGUAUAUUUUAGAAACGAAGGAAGUAUAUUUUUAGACUGAACUAACCGCACUUAAUUUUUGCUUUUUUUUUUGUCUCAGAUCUUUCUGAUUUUUUAUAUGAAUUUCUUCUUCCAUAAAAAUAGCGAUUCACCAUUGUUUUUUUACAUGCAAAAUAAAUUUAAAUUGGAUGGUUAUAUUAGAUAGGGGAAACUAAACAAGAAGUUUGGUAUUCAUGACAGGUUGGAGAUCAAAUACAAAAUUUGAUCAAAUACAAUUACAUAAAAAUGGAAUGGUCAGUAAGGAUAAAAAAAGUUUAAUGAGAAGAAAACAAAAAGGAAACACCGUCACACAUGACUAUCUUGGAGGCAACUUGCUAUUGACAUGAGUAGAAACAAAGGAAAACGGUAGGUAAUAGCCGACUGAAGGACCUACGUUGGUCUAGUUCUAUUAAUAUUGUCUUAAUUUUUUUUGACUGAAGGCAUUCAAUAUUGUCUUAAUUUUCGACGAUCUUUUAAAUACCUAGUUAUCAAUAUUUCCAGACAUUAUCACUUGAAAUAUUUGCUUUCUCCAUUGAAUUCAUGUAUGGUAUAGAUUUUUGCUUUUAUUGUCAUAACUAAAAAAUAUAAUGAGAUUGUCUUUUUCUGAAAUUGUUAUUUUAUUUGCCAAAAUGAAAGUAUGGGACCAAAGGGAGACUUGGUUGACUUUAAAUAGGAAGGACAACGAAUGAGACAAAGCAAUUCUCCAUCACUCCAUCAAUGUCUAUGAGAAGUUUUGUGUCUGAAUCUGAAAUAGCCAACUUGUUGUGUGGAUUCGUCUUAGUUAUUCCGCCGGACACUUUACCCAUCUUCCCUUCCUCAUCUCUGACUUUUCUUCUUCCCGUCUCAUUUUGCUUUUAACAAAUUCACAUAAUGUCAUAUAAACAUACCCCAUCUGUAUAUGGAAUAGUCAAGACACUCUUCUUAAAUUCUAUUUAUUGUCAUUGCCCCCUUGGUUAUUUUAUGAUGGAUGCAUGACAUACUAAUUCUCAAAUCCAAUUUAUAAUAUGUAAUUAUAGUUUUUUUUGUAAUAUUUCAAUUUUUGUAAUAUGGUGAUACAUGCAAAAUGUUAACGAGAAUUAAUUUGACUAUUUAUAUUACUAAAAUAUGUUUACUUUCAAUCAUUUGUUUUUAAAAAAUUAGAAUUCUCGUUAGAGUAGUUUAAAAAUAAAUAAAUGUUUUUAAACUAAUGAAACGUUACGAUCGCUAGAAAACUACGAUUGAAUCCAUAAAUAAAAGUAGAUGUGAAAAUUUACAGAUGGUGAAGGUUAAAUUCUUACUGUUAAAUUUGUGUUUAUUAUGAAUUUUCAACUUAAAACUAAUUGGCUUAACUAUUGACAUCAGAUUUUAUUUACUAACACUCAAAUAUGGACAAUUAUGGGAACAACAUCCAUGGAGUAGUUUAAUAUAGAUGACUCUCAUACCAUUUAAAUUCAAGCUUAUCAUGAGGUUCCAACUUAAAAUCAAUUGCAAUAAAUAGAUUAACUUUAACUUUUUAUAUACUAGUGUUACUCCUUUUAAGCUUCUGAUGUGUGAUGUCUUUUUAAUCUUCCGAUGUGGAAUCUCAACACGCCUCCUCGAGAAGAUAACUCUUAUCGAUUCAUCUCAAAAUAAAUCUCACUUUAGGACAGAUAAUACCCUUUUGGGCCACCUAUUUAGGUUAACAAGUGAUGUUUUGAUAUCAUAUUAAGUUUGGACAUAUGCUAGAAUUCUAACUUAAAAGUUAAAACCAAUUAACGAUAAUUAGAUUGACGAUAUCCUUUUAUAUAUAAAUUAAUUAUUUCUGCAACUACCGAUGUGAAACUUCAUUUAUUAACACUUACAUCUGAUUGUAGUCGCUACAUUUGUAUGUGUUGAUCAAGGGGCUAAAUGCAUCUCGAUACAAUCUUAGUUCGGUUUCCACAUUGAGCAAUUUUAACUUGUCAUUUAUCUAUGAUAAGAAUUUUCACAGAAUGAUGAUAUAAACAAAAUAAAUGAAAAACUAGAAUAUAUCCAACUCUACACCUAGAGGCAAAUUUAUUAAAAAAAUCGUAUACUUUUCAAAUGUGUAACAAUAGAACACAUGAACUGUAGCCAUUCUAUAGCUGCCUAAAGAAACAAUACAUAUGCUGUUAACAACAGAUAUUAAUUAAAUUGGUGCCAACCAAAGUUAUAGACUUAUAGUAUGAAUUAUCUGUCUUAUUUUUGUCGCACUGUCGACCGAAUCUGGAUUGUGCUUUAUUAAUCAAGAUUAUCAAAUUACAAUACUUCAAAUGUUUAAGACAUGCUGUCACCAUAUAUUUAUAUACGGCUUCAUGAAUUUUUUAAAAGCAUGCUAGUAGAUGAGAGAGAUAAAGAAAAACACUUAGAUUACCGGCGUUGCAUGUUUUCAGUUAAGUUGAAUUCUUAUAUAUUAUCCGAGGAUAAGAUAAUAGUUAGAGUAUCUAGGGUUUCAAAAUAUGACGUGAGUGGCAAAUUGACUGAUCGAAACGAGAAUACGACUGAUCGAAACGAGAAUACGACGGUAAGAUAAUUAGAGAUAUAAAAAAAAUAAAAUCACAAAAGAGACAAGAAGUUGUAUUUAAUUUAUCAGCCACAACAAAACAAAGAGUAGUAAAAACAGGUUUCCAAACGAUUUAUUGAAGGACCAUGUUCGGCGAUCUUGGCUUCCAGAUGAUGGAAUUACCAGCUCGCUAAUAAGUAAAUCACAAAAUACAUGCUAAAAUAUAAUAUAUAGAUAUUUUUAUUGAAUAAGAAACCAAUAUUUUAGAAACCUAUUUCUGACAAAAAUAAUCUUGAUAUAUCGAUUACUAUAAAAUUUAGAGUGGCCUAAAUACAUACUAGCUAUAUGUUUUAAGAAAGAAAAGAAAAUAGCUAGCUGUAUGUAAUCCGUUGUACAAGAAAUACAAUGGAUAGAUUCCUUAAUAUAACCACGUUUUAGCCUUUAGGCCACUUUUUAGGUUGUCCAAAAAGAAAAAAAAACCACGUUUUAAAAUUCAAAGUCGCAUCUAUAUAACAACAUCGUACAUGUCGGGAAAUUAUUUUAGAUUCAUUUCAUCUCAGUAUGACGCACAUAGUAACACAUUAAAUUUUUUGAACAAAAAAAAAAAAAAAAGUAACACAUUAAAUUUCAAAAGUACAUAUGGGUUCCACAGUCGUAGAUUUCCAAACUAACUAAAUAAAUGAAAUUGCAAAAAGCAAUUGUUUUGUAUUUAUUAUCUUACUAAAAAUUACUCGCAUAUAUUGAAAAAAUCAAGAAAUUAAAAUUAGACAUUUUUGAUAAGAUUUAUAAGUUAUAAAAUUUGAUAAUAUUUCAUUAAUCGCUACAGUAGAUAAAAUAUAUAAAAUUAUUUAUAAUGCGAUAAAAUUGGUUAUAAAAUUUCAUAAAUAAUAUAUAAAAGAUUAUAAAUUCAUAUAAAUUCAUUUAUAAAGCCUCAGUAAUCAUUUAUAAAAUAUAAUAGAAUCAGUUGUAAGAGUUAAAAUAAAGAAUAAGAAUUUUCAAAAGUUUACAAUGUUAUUUAUAAAAACUUUUAAACAUGUAUACAAGCUUCUAAAAUAUUCAGCAAGAGUUAUAAUGUUUUAAUAGAAGUUGUGAAGCUUUACAAAAUUAUUGCUAAAGUCUUAUUAAUCAUUUGUAAAAAUUUACUAAUAUAUAUAUAUAUGACCUUGUAAAUAAAUUAUAAAAAUUUAUAAUAAUGUACAAGGAUUUUAUAAAUUAAUUUUAAAGGCUAUAAAUUGGUUAUAAGAAUUUUAAAAAAAAUGUAGAAAGUGAUUAUUAAUCACUUAUAAACUUUUAUCUAUUUUAGUGAUUGUAUAAACCCUUGUUUGAUAUUACAAAUCAACUCUUAUAAAUUAUUUUACAAGUUUAUAAUGAGAAAUUCUUUAUGUAAAAUUUUAAAUGUUUACAUCCAAAAUAGACAAAGAAUGACAUAUGUUAAUGAUUUACAAGAUAAUUGUAUAGAACAUUAAAAAAAUAAAUUUAUAAAUUGUCUUUUGAUUCAAAAAUAAUUUAGGGGUUUUACACAGAAAACCUUUAUAACAACAACAAAACAUUUUCCCUUUCUUUUGAAAAAGUGUCAUCUUAUAUUUUUCAUUGUUAUACAAAAAUCAUCGUUGUAAAAUUUCACUACAAUUUAUAUUUAUUUUUAGCUGAAUAUUAACUGUAAAAUGCAUUGAUUUAAUAAAUAAAUUUAUUUAUUAAAAAUAUUAUAUGUUAAGUAUAUGUAAUUAAUCGAAUAAUAUAUUUGUACUAUUUACUUAAUAUGUGUGAGAAGCGUUUACUGGCAUUGGAAGAGUAUGAAAAUUAUUUGUCAAAAAACAUUAUAAUAUUAGAAAUCAAAACAUUCAACAUUGCGAAUAUUCAUAGACGUAUAGAAAUAUAAUUGGUUGGAUCACGUGGUUCUGCAAAAAGAUCGUUACAUUUUUUUAAUUUUAGUACAUGACAAAUCAAAUUUGGAGUCUUGUACUCCCACGACAAAAUUUUACAGAUAGGCUACAGUAAUGUGUUACAAAUAUUACCAAAAUUUUACAGAUAGGCUACUCCCAUAAUAUUAAAUGAAAUACAUAAUGUGUUACAAAUAAUACCAAAAUUAAUAGAAUUCUUCAAAAUUAACCGACUUUUAAAUCUGGCGAUCAUAUACUCUAUUGAUUUCAUUAAAAAUGUCAUUUUAACACAUUUCACGCAAAUUAAAAAAAAUAUAAAAAUAAUGAUGUACCGGCAUUUAAUCUAUAAUUAUUUAAAUAAAAAUCUAUUAUUUGUUUGAUAGGAUAAAAAGAUAUUUUAUAUGAAAAAUUGCAUUGGGAACAUAGAGUGACAUAUUUUUUAAAUAAGAAAAAAUGAUAAAAUAAUUCUUUUAAAAAUAAGAGCAUAUCUUCAAAGACUAGCCAAUUAUUAAAAUAAAGGCAAAACUAAGUCAAGCGUCAACAAUUUUAAAACUGGAUUUACAUAAUUUACAAACUCGAAUAAUAUUAAAAUAUAGGCAAAACUAAGUCAACAAUUUUAAAACUGGAUUUACAUAAUUUCCUAAAUCGAAUAAUAUUAAAAUAAUAUUCACAUAAAAUUUACUCAAAAACUGGUGAUAAAAUAUAAAUUCAAAUAGUGAAAAUAAAAUAUUUUAAAUACAAACAAUUAUAUUAACUUUAGCAAAUGAUUUUCAAAAUCUUGUCCUAUUUACUUUCACCAAUAUAUUAGCAAAAUAUGUAAAUUAUAGCAUAUUUAAUGAAUAUAGGUCCAUUCUAAUUAUUGAUAAAAGUAAUUUAAUAUAUCAAAUGAUGAUUUUAGCAUAGCAAAAUGUUAUACAAAUAUAUUAACAUGCAUUAGUUACAGAUGAUAAAAUAAAUUAAGUAUAAAAUUAUAAACAAUUUUAUAUUAAUAAUAUCGAAACAAGAUAUAAAAAUAUUGUUAUUUAAUUAUACUAUAUAUAAUUUUAAAUGUAAAUAAUAUUUUAAAAUUGUUACUUGUAAAUUCAAAAUCUAUACACAGAGCCGGGACUGAAAAAAAUUAGCCCAUACGCGAAAAAAAUAUUUUGGUUCUUUUUUAAAAAAUAUUGUAAAAAUAUUACUUAUACACAGUAAUAAUAAUGUUACCAGUAAAGCUAUCUAAUAUUUCUGAUUAUAUUUGACCCCAUGAAAUAUAUAUUCUUUGACCCUGAAGCACAUGAUUUAUUGAAUUUGUUAAGGCAUGACCCUGUCUAUACAUUUAAAAAAUAUGAAAGAAAGAAAUUCUUUAAAAUGUCAUCUAAUUAAAAACGGAGGAAAUACUAUUUAAUUGUAUGCGAACCUUUCGGUUGAACAAUUAUCAUGAAUGCUUUGAUGAAAUUUUUUUUAUCCAUGAUUAGGUAAAUAUUUACGUUUUUGUUUUAAUAUUUACUAGAUUUUGACCUUGUAGGUGUUUGUUUUUCUGUUAAGAAUUGUUUCUAACCUUUGACAAUGCCAUAAAAUUAAUUUUUGAUUUGAUACUUUAUUCAGUUUUGACAUUCGUGUGUCUCGUUUAAUAUGUUUAGCCUCCACUUAUAAAUUAUGAGAUUAUGUAUUUUUUUGUGUAUUGCCGACUUUUUUUGAUAACGUAAAAAUUAAAAUAUAUAAUAUUAUAUUUUUAAGUAUACUUGUGAAUUUUAUUAAAUUAUAUUAUAAAUAUUUUGAUUUAAAGUUGUAUAUAAAGUUCAAGUUUGAUAUUGAGAUUUUUUAAAAAACAAAUAUAUGUUUAGGUAGAAACAUUCAAAACUAAGAAUUGAAUUUUAAUCAUUUAAUAAUUUAAGUUAUUGAGUUGGGCCAUUUGGCUAUGAUUAAAAUUUUGGUCCAUACAUGCAGAGUUUACAAUCUGAGAAUAUACAUAUCUUCAAAAUUUACCAUAAAAGAUAUCAAAAUUGUUUUACACAUUUUAAAAGAGAAUAUACGCAUCUUGCAAAUUUAACAGAUAUUUCUUCAAUUUCUCUAGAUAAUAAAUAUUUGGUUAGUUAAUAUAACAGAUAAUAAAAUUGAUUUAUGCGUCGUAAGUAUAGAAUAUAGAAUAUUGAACAAUAAUUUUUUUAUUCCUUUUGUCUAAAUAGAUAAUUAUAAUUGGUUCUUAAGAUAAGCGAUUUAAAUAUGUUACUAUAAACUAGCUCAAGCAAUUAGGAUGUUGUUAGGAAUAUUCGUUAGUUGAUUCAAACUUCACGUACACAGUUUUUAUAUAUAAAAAAUAUUAUUUUUAUUUACUUAGGAGAGCAGUGAAGUUAAUAUGAAGUUUUGAAUAGAUUGCAUUUGAAAAAUUGAAAGGAGUUUUGAUAUAGUGUUAGUAAGAUUGAUAUUUUUUGAUUAAUUUUAUACCUAAAAUGAGGAAUUGAUUUUUUUGAAUGUAUUCUGUUAUGAAACCUGUCAUUAUGGGGAUUAUAUAUUAAUAAUUGUGGUUAUAUAAACUAUGUUUCUUUAUGUAAUAUGACAUGAUAAUCCGUCAUUUUAUUUUGUGAUAUACAUGAACAAAAAGUAUUCACAUGAUAAAUAGUUAUUUGUUAGUUUUUAUAUUAGUAUCUAAUGCAAUGAGUAAAUAAUUAAUGAUAUGAUUUUGUUAAAUUUUCAUUGACAUGAAUUUAUGAUUAUAUGUUUUCCAUACGUCUUUUUCUUACCUUUGUAUUUUUUUAUUAUUUCCAGAAUUAUAAUAGAGUUAGAAUUGGUUUGAAGAUGCAAUAAGUUGUUAAUAGUUUAAAUGAAUUCUGGUUUUGGUAAUGGCAUUAAUAAUGGUUUAAGCCAGUGACAUGAGAUGGUAAUUAUUGAAGAAAAUUCAGGGUUAAAUUUUAUUGGUCCUCGUGUGUUUAAUAGAUUAGAUGUUUUUCUAAAGGCAAAAAGGAUAGUACUUUAUAUACUCUGUAAGUGAAAGAAUAUUUAUAUGAAAAAAAGAAACAUAGUGUUUAGUAAUUGGUAUUUAUAAAUUGGCACGCAAUAACGAAAAUCUAAAACCAAGCCCAACUGGUCUCUUUUGUGAUUGG